rnacentral:lncRNA from 12 species
AAUCCUGAAACUAUAGCACCUUUGGUCAUCUGAUUUUAAGGAUCAUGCUAACAGCAGCUCUUGCCAAGGGACAAGGAAGUUCCACAGCACUUUCGUGGACCUGCGGCGACUUUUGUAAAAUUUAA